rnacentral:rRNA from 1 species
UACGAAGGGGGCUAGCGUUGUUCGGAAUUACUGGGCGUAAAGCGUGCGCAGGCGGCUUCUCAAGUCAGGGGUGAAAGCCCAGAGCUCAACUCUGGAAUUGCCUUUGAGACUGAGAGGCUUGAGUACGGGAGAGGUGAGUGGAAUUCCCAGUGAUAGAGGUGAAAUUCGUAGAUAUUGGGAAGAACACCAGUGGGCGAAGGCGGCUCACUGGACCGUAACUGACGCUCAUGCACGACAGCGUGGGGAUCAAACAGGAUUAGAU